rnacentral:rRNA from 1 species
GAAUAUUGGACAAUGGGGGCAACCCUGAUCCAGCCAUGCCGCGUGUGUGAAGAAGGCCUUUUGGUUGUAAAGCACUUUAAGCAGUGAAGAAGACUCCGUGGUUAAUACCCACGGACGAUGACAUUAGCUGCAGAAUAAGCACCGGCUAACUCUGUGCCAGCAUCCGCGGUAAUACAGAGGGUGCAAGCGUUAAUCGGAAUUACUGGGCGUAAAGCGAGCGUAGGUGGCUUGAUAAGUCAGAUGUGAAAUCCCCGGGCUUAACCUGGGAACUGCAUCUGAAACUGUUAGGCUAGAGUAGGUGAGAGGGAGGUAGAAUUUCAGGUGUAGCGGUGAAAUGCGUAGAGAUCUGAAGGAAUACCGAUGGCGAAGGCAGCCUCCUGGCAUCAUACUGACACUGAGGCUCGAAAGCGUGGGUAGCAAACAG